UAGAGCAUUGAAUAUGGGUACUGAUCAGCAGAUUGCAGUGAUCUAUGGUAGCUGAUUAUUGCUCUUUUCUGUAAUCAUCUCCAUCUAUAUGUUUUGAAGAAGAAAAUGUCAAACUAUCAUCUCGGAUAUAUCAUCAUGAUAAUGUUGAUGGGGUUAAAACAUUGUGUCUUCAAGAUAUCGAUGGCCAUGAUCUUAUGGCCGUGAUCUUAGGGAUGAUGAGGAUCACGCUUAUUGAAAGGUCAAAUUGAGCGCUGAAGAUGUUCGAGGGACAAACCUUUUGACCAUGCAAUUUCUGGGGAAUUGAUUUUACAACAGACCGACAAGUUGAGGUCUUUGGUAAGGGAAUGGUAGGCAAUGAUUGAGCCUCAUGUGGAUGUGAAGACCACCGACAACUACAGUUUGAGUAUGUUUUACUUGAAUUUACUAAGUGAAGAGGAUAUAGCUGUUAUGCGAAAUCUAUGAGCCAAAUGUGUAUAUAUAUAUAUUCGAAAAAGAGAUGGAGAAGGUAACCUCGAUCGAGUGCAUCUACCCUCUACCCAUGCAAUGUGUAUAUUCAGAAAGUUAGGAUCUUGAAAGCUCCAAAAUUAGAUUUUGGAAAGUUGGUAGUGACUAUUAUGAUGAUAUAUUGGUGUCAAUUAGUUGGAGAGGCUAGCCGACGAGACUAUGAUGGAGGUGGCUAUUGAACUACUAGGUGUUCUAUGCCCAUACAACUUGAUCAAGUGUACCAGCUCUCCAUCGUCCAUGCUUGCUGUUGGUAAACACUUGCUGCUAGAGCAUCCAAUUGUCAAGAUUUGUGGUUACUUGUCGUCUGAAGUCUCACCUAUAAAAGGAGAUAAUUUCCAAUGCAAUGUGUCGUGGAGAGGGGGGAAAAAUACAAGAAGGGCUUAGUGAAUAAGAGUUGAAAAGAGAAAGAAAGAGAGAGCCAGGGUGAGCUUUGAAAAAAAAAAAAAAGAGAUUUGAAUUGAGUGGAGUGUGAUCCUUCUCUUUUAUAAUAUUUUGUGUUCUACUAUUUAAUAGUGAAGCUCUUUCUCUGUGGACAUAGGGAGUUGCCAAACCACAUUAAA